rnacentral:rRNA from 1 species
UAAUACGUAGGGGGCAAGCGUUAUCCGGAUUUAUUGGGCGUAAAGCGCGCGUAGGCGGCUGAUCACGUCGGAUGUUAAAGCUCAGGGCUUAACCCUGAGAGGCCAUUCGAUACGGAUCGGCUAGAGGUAGGUAGGGGAAGGUGGAAUUCCUGGUGUAGCGGUGAAAUGCGCAGAUAUCAGGAGGAACACCGGUGGCGAAGGCGGCCUUCUGGGCCUUACCUGACGCUGAGGCGCGAAAGCUGGGGGAGCAAACAGGAUUAGAUACCCUGGUAGUCCCAGCCGUAAACGUUGAGUGCUAGGUGUGGGGAGGUCUUCAACCCUCUCCGUGCCGAAGCUAACGCAUUAAGCACUCCGCCUGGGGAGUACGGUCGCAAGACUA